AUCAACCACUACAGGUAUGUUCUUGAUCUUCAAAUUAACUCCAUGUGUAAGAGUAUGGUGACAGUCGUGGUGGUGGUAGCCUUAAGAGUAACGAAUCUGUAUGUUCUUUGACUCUAUCCUUUUUUUGGUAUGAAAACCCUAACUCGCAUCUUUGAACAAUCGAUGCCAAACCCUCAAGGUAAGUUUGAAAUUAAGUAAUCUACGCCACUGCAUGUGAUUUUCAUUUGAUUUUCAAUGUUCAACGCGGAUUUUAUUCGACACCACGAUGUUUGAUUUACUAACAUUCAUCUACUAUCUGUGUUUGUUCAUGGAUUUGGGGUUUUUGAUGAUUCUCGACUGUUACAACUUGCGUUUCUGUUGAUUAUCUUCUUGGAUUGGUUGAAGUCCAAGCAGCUUCCUUUUGUGUGGGCGUUUGAAGACGUCUUAUGAGGGUUCCGGUUGGAUCAUGGCUGGGAGUUUGAAGAUGGAUGAUGUUGUUGCUGCAUGGAAGAUGGCUGAUAGGGUUUGAAGAUGGAUAAAAUUAAAUUGUCAUUUUACAGAAACAGUUCGGGUCGAACAUACAUCUGGUGGGUGGAGAUGGAUGGAUUCCUGCUUAUUUUACUGUUCGCGUCGAAACGGACAAACGAUACUGGAUGAAAUGGUACGCGUCGAAACGUUACGGGUCGAAACGGCUCGCGUCGAACCUGUCUCGGUCCGAAACUUAAUUAUUUUGUCGGAUUAUUCCUUCAUGUGGUGGUGGUGUUUUUGCUGAUGCUGCUGCAAAGUUUCGAUAUCGUGAUGCGUUUUGAUGCUAUUGGAUGUACUUAUAACUACGUUUGUUAUGUUGAGGAAGAAGGUAGUAGGAAUGUUAGUUUAAAGUUAAAAAAUGGGAUCUGGAAUGCGAGUGAAGGAUUAUUCCUAACCGUGGUCUUUAAAGCAGAAAUCAGAAUAAUGAAUCAUAAACUAAAGUUCGAGUUAUGUCAGGAACCUACUACAUCUUACAGAAGAGACUGAUUAUCCAAGUUUGACAAAAACGGUGGACAUGAUAGAAUAAGGCCAUUGAAUAUGACAAUUUCAUCGAGUAUUUAUUUCUUUUUUGAGUUUUAUUUUUUUUAAUAUUGUCAUAUCUAAUGAUGUUUAGGUUUUAUAAUGAUGAUUUCAGGUGCUGCUUGAUCGUUAA